rnacentral:tRNA from 1 species
UCCGGGGUAGCUCAGCUGGCAGUAGCGAGGGAUUGUUAAUCCCUAGGUCGUGGGUUCGAGCCCCACCCCCGGAGCCA